rnacentral:rRNA from 1 species
GAUUUUGGAGGGCAAGUCUGGUGCCAGCAGCCGCGGUAAUUCCAGCUCCAAUAGCGUAUAUUAAAGUUGUUGCAGUUAAAAAGCUCGUAGUUGAAUUUCGGGGUUAGUAGGCUGGUCAUGCCUCUGGUAUGUACUGGUCUCACUGAUUCCUCCUUCCUGAUGAACCGUAAUGCCAUUAAUUUGGUGUUGCGGGGAAUUUGGACUGUUACUUUGAAAAAAUUAGAGUGUUUAAAGCAAGCUAACGCUUGAAUACAUUAGCAUGGAAUAAUGAAAUAGGACGUUCGAUCCUAUUUUGUUGGUUUCUAGGAUUGACGUAAUGAUUAAUAGGGAUAGUUGGGGGCAUUAGUAUUCAAUUGUCAGAGGUGAAAUUCUUGGAUUUAUUGAAGACUAACUACUGCGAAAGCAUUUGCCAAGGAUGUUUUCAUUAAUCAAGAACGAAAGUUAGGGGAUCGAAGACGAUCAGAUACCGUCGUAGUCUUAACCAUAAACUAUGCCGACUAGGGAUCGGAUGAUGUUAAUUUUUUAAUGACUCAUUCGGCGCCUUACGGGAAACAA